GAGCUGAUCUUCGUUCAUUUGAGGCACAAUGGAAUGUCAGGGAGACCCUGAAUCUGAAGCAUCCAAACAGUGGAAUUCAAGGUUGUCGGAGGGAACAACGGUUAUUGUGUUCAAUGAACCUUCGAUUUAUAUUUACCAUUUUCCAAACUUUGUAAGAUUAGUGGAGCCAUGCCAUUGGCAGGUCACCACUCUUUCAAAUAAAUUUGAGCCUGUUGCCUUUCAUUUGGAAUUCUCAUUUAUUCAGCUUAUAAAACCUUUCCUUUUUUAUGGUAGCAUUUGAAACAAAAUAUUUCUCAAAAUCAUAAAUUUUCUUUCAUGUCUUUUUUGAGAAGCACAAACAACAAAACACUUUUUCUUUGAACUCGUGAAUAGAUGAAGGGUGUGUCAACAGCUACCCUGAGAAUGGACAAACCUUGCAGGUUGCACGUGGUCAAUUGCUUUUUUUCAAAAAAAAAAAAAAAA
rnacentral:lncRNA from 1 species